ACGAACGCUGGCGGCAGGCCUAACACAUGCAAGUCGAACGCUGUAGCAAUACAGAGUGGCAGACGGGUGAGUAACACGUGGGAACGUACCCUUCGGUUCGGAAUAACUCAGGGAAACUUGAGCUAAUACCGGAUACGUCCGAGAGGAGAAAGAUUUAUCGCCGAAGGAUCGGCCCGCGUCUGAUUAGCUUGUUGGUGAGGUAACGGCUCACCAAGGCGACGAUCAGUAGCUGGUCUGAGAGGAUGAUCAGCCACAUUGGGACUGAGACACGGCCCAAACUCCUACGGGAGGCAGCAGUGGGGAAUAUUGGACAAUGGGCGAAAGCCUGAUCCAGCCAUGCCGCGUGAGUGAUGAAGGCCCUAGGGUUGUAAAGCUCUUUUACUCGGGAAGAUAAUGACGGUACCGAGAGAAUAAGCCCCGGCUAACUUCGU
rnacentral:rRNA from 1 species